rnacentral:tRNA from 1 species
UUUGGAUAGUUUAAUUUAAAAUAUUGAUUUGUGGAGUCAAAGAUACACUGUGUGUUUUAAAUAA